UACAGAGGGUGCAAGCGUUAUUCGGAAUUAUUGGGCGUAAAGGGUGCGUAGGCGGCUUUUCAAGUGACGGGUGAAAUCCCUCGGCUUAACCGAGGAACUGCCUGUCAGACUGGAAGGCUUGAGACCGGGAGAGGUGAGUGGAAUUCCCAGUGUAGCGGUGAAAUGCGUAGAUAUUGGGAGGAACACCAGUGGCGAAGGCGGCUCACUGGACCGGAACUGACGCUGAGGCGCGAAAGCGUGGGGAGCAAACAGG
rnacentral:rRNA from 1 species